CACGCGUACUACAUUAUGCAUGCAGUAAGUCAACCUAACCCGAGAGGGGAUGGGUAAUCUUUUCAAAGUGCAUAGUGCUUGGGAUAGAUCUUUGCAAUUAUGGAUCUUGAACGAGGAACUCCUAGUAAGCAUGUGUCAUCAACACAUGUUGAUUACGUCCCUGCCCUUUGUACA
rnacentral:rRNA from 1 species